GGCUGGGCGAUUCGGUCCUCGUGCGCGGAAGGAGCUCCCCAGGGGGGCGGAGCUUUGGGCAGCCUCGGUCUCGUGCACCAAUGAAGGCCCGAAGAAGGGCGCGUUUCCGCCGCGAGAAGUUCCCAGCCAGGUAAGGCUUCUCAUGCCAACCUCAGGCUCCACCUUCAAGAGAACCUCCUUUCAAGAAAUGUUUCCAGAGAAUUCUCCUCCUGACUCCUCCUGAGUUCUCCUUCCACAGCCUCCUUCAAGACCUCUCCAGGAGCUCUCCCUCCAGGACUUCUCUCCUCUCAGACCUCCUUCAGAGCAUCCUCCUGAGCAUCUCUCAGUCCUCAGACCCCGCUAUCUUUAAGCCAAAAAUCUAAGUCCCCUCCCCUCAGUUCUCACCAUCUACCAAUCACUGUCGAUCUCUCCCCUGUGCCAAUGGUGGCUCUAGCUUAACCCAGGACCGCCCAGAGGUCUGCCCCCUUUGCACAUGUCUGUUGAAGGUCAUAUUCUCAAAUAAUUAAAUCUUGAUCUUUGCUGCAGCCCUUCCUAAAUCCUGUUACUCUGAGUAGGGUGGAGAUUGUAGUUUCCAAGACCUGGUUCUGUCAUUCCAAGUAUCUCUAUUGUAUCAAUUCUAAAAUCAAUCAUGACUCAAAGAACUUCCUGUUCUAUGCUUAAGCAUAGGUCAAAGCCCUUUCCAUUGUUUAGCAAAAAGGUUUCUGUCCUAAAGUAGUCUUAAGAAGGGAGGAGAAGGAUCCUCCCAUGCCAAGGAGUUUCACAUUCCAAUAGAGUUCUUACUAUCAGUAGGAAAUUUUUCAAGUAUGAAAUUUCCCAAUGGGGAAAUUUCCAACAUUCAUAAGUCUAAGAAAUUUUAAGGUUUACACCCCAUGCUGGAGCUGCAGGUCAGGGUGAUGGUUUCUCCUGGGAUCAUAAUCAGAGAUGGCUCCUGGGUCACCACCACCUGAGAAGUGACCCCUGAAAAGAACAGGGCAGACAUAUAUCAGGUACAGAGACAUGAGGAACAUUGCCAAAGCUCCCCAGCUCCACAUCCAGAUUUUCCCUUUUUCUUUCCCAAGAUCCCAGGGAGUCAGACCCCUAUCACCUUUGCAGAGAGUAAGCAAGAGGAAGAGAAGAGUCAAGGCCAUGGUGUAGAGGCUCUCUCUGCUUCCUGAGGCACCAGACAUUGGGUCCUAUCAAUUCCUCUUAUACUCCCACCCUACUCCAUGUGGGGAGACUGGAGCAUUCCUUCAUGCAAAAAUGCCUUGAAAUGGCAGUUAUUGGAACAGAGUUGGGGCCUCUCCUGGGUCUAAGGUUAUAUUGAGAUGGGGAAGGGGCUGAGUAUGGGUUGGCCCUGGGUUUAGCUUACUGGGCAUAGUUUUAAAAAUGGAGAUUUUGAACCCUAGAUUUCAAUCCCCAGAAGUCCUUGGUAUUUCCCAGAAUUUUAUAUAAUAUCACCUGAGUUUCCACAUUGGCGAGAUCACAAUUGGUAUUUAACUGGAAGUAAUGCCUCCCACAUUCUCUUCUCUGCCAUUACAAUGAUAUAGGAUGUUAGUGGUCAGCUAAGCACAGGGAUUUUGAAUUAGCUAAUCAGCCAUGGGCACGUGGUUUUUAUUUUGUAUCCUCUUGAUUUCUAGUGUUUCUUAAUAAACCUCAUAAAAUAAUAAUAUUUUAAAAAUUAGUAUAUAAUUUAAUUUCUACAGUUUAUGGCAACCACAAAAUUGGAUGAGAACUUCUCAAUUUUUUUUAAAGAUAGUCUAGAUAAUUUUUUAAAGCUAUGUUUCUCCAGCCAAGGCUUUUUGCCUACCCUCCCAAAGCUUCUGAUUCAGCUUGCUCCUGCUGCCUGCUUCUGCACUCCAUUCACUCUUGCCUCUAGCUCUGGACCUGCUUAACCCAGAUUGCUCUCCUGGUCCUGACCUGCCCUGGCCCAGCCUCAGCUAAUCUCCAACUUCCAAGUCAGAUCUCCCCAGGACCCAGGCUGCUGGUAGCUGCUCCUGUGUCAUCAGAAUCACAAACCAGCUGGUAAGAACUAGGGUGGUCUUUUCUUAGGCAACAAUUAGCCUCCAUGUGGCAGGGGACCUGGGGUGGGGUGUCAGGGAACAAGGAGAACUUUUCCAAACAGGAAGUUGAUUACAAGCAUGGCAUAUUUCAAAGGAUAUUUUUUUUUUCAGUACACUGAUCUUUUUACUUAUCUCGCCUGAGAGUCAGGGGAGAAAUUCAUCUCCCUGCAACUCUAUGCCAUUAGGGCCUGCCCAAUUUGAGAUUCCUAAAACCCAUUUUCUCCACUAUGGGGAAUUCCACAGUACUGACAAAAGGAAUCUCAAUGGAUUAAAAAACAACAACAACAACAACACAAAACCGAACUUUAAAGAGACUGUCAGUUACAUUUUUAAGGCUUUUCAGACUCCAAUGUUUUAUAAACAUCUCUGUAUUUUAUUGCAUUUUGCUGAUUGUUUUAUUUAAGAUUUAAUUUUGUUGGUUUUAAGUUCAUAUAUUAAUGUAUUCAAUACUAUUCUGUUAGACUGAAUCAUUUUAAUAUACUGGGUUUUAACUACUGUUAUAUUCUGUUGCUUUCUCCCUAUAACUAUACUGAAUAAAUAUUGAAUAAGCCCAUAUAUAAAAACAGCCUUUUUUCUAUUUUGACUUUGUAAAUUGUCACAUAAAGGAUGGAUAGACUUCAUCAAAACUGGUUACAAUUGUAUAACAACCUUUGGAACAUUUAAUGAACUAAAUAUCUCAAAUUAAUUUUAAGGCAUUUUUAGACAUGAUUUUUAUAUUUUUUCAACAACUCUGAUCAUUUUGCCUGCCUCUAACAGGAGGUAAGGUCCAUUUUAGUAGCUGAAGUGAAAUACAAUUAUAAUCCCCACCUCCCACAUUUGUAAAAAUGUGAACAGAUGGGACAUCCCAGUCCCAUACCAAAGGAGCUGGGAAGUUAAUCCCAGGGCAUAUUACCCCUGGAGGGCUCCCAAAAGAACAGAAUCUCUCAUUUAUAACUCUUCAGCUCACUUUACUUCCACCAGAAUGAUCUCUAUAUUUCUUGAUGAUGACCUUGACCCAAAUAAGUUUUACUUUGAUUAAAAAUAUGUUUGCCAAGGUUGAAACAUUGCUACACCUGAAAAACUUGUGACAAGUAUCCAUUUUCUUUAAAUGUCAUACAGCAAACUCAUAUGAAAUAUGAUAGUGGGUUUAUUUGCCAUCGUAAUUAAAUGGUCUAUUAUAAUUUUGGGGAUAUUGAUACUUUUUGAAUGUGCAUUACCUGUUGUACUACUGUUCUUUAUAAAAUAACUGUUACUUUGUGAAAUUCAUUUGCUUGUACUCACAGUGGAUCAUGGCCAGGUAUGAAAAGGAAAUGGAUCUCAUUUUUGCUGAGAAACAUUGUAUUCUACAUUUCCUUAGCUGACACAGUAUGUCAAUGAUUAUAAGCUAUAUUUUUGAAUUUUAAAACUCUUUUAUUGUUAUAUUUUUCUUGCAUGUGCAAUAUACUAUUUCAGUUUUUUAUUUUUUCUCUCCUUUUUAUAUUUGAAGCACCAGCAUUAAGAUUUUCUUUAACUUUUUUUAUUUUGCAGUAAUAUAAGUUUAAAAUACAUCUACUAUAAUGUCAAUGCAUACCCAAAAAUCUUAAGACUAUAAAAAUGAUGCCAUUGAUUGUUUUUUAAAAAUUAUGGAAUUUCGCUUAAUGGUUCUGUCUGAUUCCAGGACAAGAGAAUACAAAAAGAGCCAUUGCACAGUGCCAAAGAAGCACAAAGCUAAACUGCACAGUGCCAAUCAAGCUUAAGGUCAAAGAGACCAACCAAGCCUGGUGGGAUUGAUGUAAUUUUGAGCCAAGACAAAGAGGACUUGAACAUAUUUGUGGUUCGAGUUUGCAGCUGUUUAACAUGUGUUAAAAGCAGGUCUUCCUUGUUCCACAUUCUACCAAGUAUCUCAAAUUUGGCUCCUACCUGGCUUCUAUAAUCUAGUCCCUAUUCUGUCUUUCAAAAUGUGGCAACUUUCUUUGGACCUGGCUACUGAUUGGGUAAAUGCUUAAAUGCUUAUAUCAUUUUAAUUGGGCUCUGAUUCAAGGACCUGUUAUAGAUUUAUUUUUCCUUUACUUAGAAUUUUUACACAUAAAAUUUUGAUAAUUUAUAUUUCAUCCAGAAAUUAUCUUUUUUAUUUUGGAUUUUUUUGAUGUUUUUUAUUUCUCUUGCCAAUUGAUUCAUAUGCCUCAUAACUCAGCCAUGCAUCCCUAAAUUAUCCCUGUGUUUUUCAAUCACCCUCUUCAGGGAGGAAUGUAUAAUUAUUAUUAUUUUAAGUUACAAAGUUUAAAUUCCUUUUGAGAGUAAUUUUAGGUUAAGAAAUAUGCUACCUCUCCAAAUCCAGAAAGUGAACUGUUUGGAGAAGACACCAUGAAGAUGCCUCCACAGACCACAACCUGCACCAGAAGAUCCAGAGUGAACUUUAGGAUGUGGUGAUUUGAACUGUGUGGGGUCUGAAUGCAUUGUUUUGUUUUGUAUACUCUUAUGCCAAAGGGGACUACCCCCUAACUGGCUUUUUGUCAAUGUGCCUAGCAAUUAUUGGUUUUAUUCUCUUUUCCUCAUCCUCAAAUUAUUGUAAUUUCAUAGCUGGUAUGUUUACAAGACCCAUUGGAGAGACUAGUCUUCCUUGGGCCUCAAGAGUAAUAUAAAAAUGGAGAUUUUAACCCUAGACUUCAAUCCCCAAAAGUCCUUGGUAUUUCCCAGAAUUCUCUAUAAUCUCACCUGAGUCUCCACAUUGACGAGAUCACAAUUGGUAUUUAACUGGCAGUAAUACCUCCCAUGCUCUCUUCUCUGCCAUUGCAAUGAUGUAGGAAGUUAGUGGUGAGCUCAGUGCAGAGAUUCUGAAUUGGCUGGGUCAUGGGCACAUGGUUUCUAUUUUGUAUCUUCUUUAUUCCUUGAUUUCUAAUAAUCCUUAAUAAACCUCAUAAAAUAAUA